AUGAAUGUCGUUCGCGGUUGGGAAAGCGAAGCAAGGAACGCCACGGGAUGGAGAAAACAGCUUAUUUGCCAAGCAAAUGAGCAGGGGGAAGCUGCAAGAAAAUUGGGCCGAGCGUGCGCUUUGCUGGAGCGACGACGCAGUGCGUUAAGCGGCGCGGCAGGCAGGACGCCGACCGGAGCGGCCCUCCGCCUUUGUCCUCCGCGCCACCCGAGCUGGGGGGGGGGGGGGGGGCGUGUCCUGCGGAUCUGGGGUGGCGGCCCCGAGGGCGCUUGCGGCGCCCCAGAGGCGAAGGCGGAGGCGCCAGGAUGCCAGCGGGCUGCGCACAAGGUCGGGGGCAAGGCCGCGCGGCGGCCCGGAGCCCCAAGGAGGGGCGCGAAGGAAGCGAGCGCGGCCAACCCGAGGGCGAGCGGCGCGGGCGGCGCCAGCCCGGGGGCCGCAGCGGGCGGGGCGUGCGCAGCGCAGCCCCCGGGGGACCGAGGAACCUCCGCAGGGGCGGGGCCGGGCCGCGGCCGGAAGACGGGGGCAGGCGGGGGGGGGGGCAGGCGGGGGGGGGGGGCAGGCGGGGGGGUGGGCGGCGCGCGGCGCGGCGAGGGGGCGGGGCCUCCGCGCGCAGCCUCAGUAGGUCUCCGGGAAUUUUCCACUCGAGCGCCGGAGCCGCCGAGACGCCGCCCGCCUCUGCGCACCGGGGGCCCACGUGACGGUGAUUCACCAGGCGCCGCCUCCCGAGCCCGAGGCGGGGAAGCGACGGGGAGAGGAGCGAGUGAGGAGAAGAGGAGGAGGAAAAGGAGGAGGGGCGGGCCCUGGAGGUGCGGAGGCCCCGCGGCGCGGCGCGGCGAGGGGGGCGGGGCCGGGCGGGCCACGCUGGCCUCCGCCUGCGACGGGGAAGCUAGACGGCGCUCGGACGGGGACGGCACGACCGGCCCCCGACUGCGUGGAGGAAAGGGGCGGGCGGGCUUGCGGGUUCCCGCGGAGGGAGCCCCGCCGCGGACAUCGCAGUGCGGGGCACGGCGGCGCCCCCGUGGCACGCGUCCGCGCGUGUGUACGUGGCUCCUGACGUGGAGAGCCCCGGCGGCGGGGCGCGCGCGCCGGACGCACGCACGCACGCACGCACGCCGGAAGCGAGGGUGCGGCCCCGGCCCGACCCGCGUGCCCCGGCAGGCCCGCGGGCGCUGGUGUGUGCGCGCGAGGCGGCCCUCGGGGCGCGGGCCCGGCCUUGCAGCCGGUUCCACAUGA
rnacentral:lncRNA from 1 species